UACGUAGGGUGCAGCGUAUGAAUGAAUCUGGGCGUAAAGCGUGCGCAGGCGGUUAUGUAAGACAGUUGUGAAAUCCCCGGGCUCAACCUGGGAACUGCAUCUGUGACUGCAUAGCUAGAGUACGGUAGAGGGGAUGGAAUUCCGCGUGUAGCAGUGAAAUGCGUAGAUAUGCGGAGGAACACCGAUGGCGAAGGCAAUCCCCUGGACCUGUACUGACGCUCAUGCACGAA
rnacentral:rRNA from 1 species